UACGAAGGGGGCUAGCGUUGUUCGGAAUUACUGGGCGUAAAGCGCGCGCAGGCGGCUAUCCAAGUCAGUGGUGAAAGCCCGGAGCUCAACUCCGGAACUGCCAUUGAAACUGUUUAGCUUGAGGAUGAGAGAGGUGAGUGGAAUUCCCAGUGUAGAGGUGAAAUUCGUAGAUAGUGGGAAGAACACCGGUGGCGAAGGCGGCUCACUGGCUCAUUACUGACGCUCAGGCGCGAUAGCGUGGGGAUCAAACAGG
rnacentral:rRNA from 1 species